GGCUACCUAGCGCAAUGGUAGCGCGUUUGGCUUCGAUCGCCGGACGGAUACCAAAAGGUUGCAGGUUCGAGUCCUGCGGUGGUCA
rnacentral:tRNA from 1 species